GUGGGGAAUAUUGGACAAUGGGGGGAACCCUGAUCCAGCCAUGCCGCGUGUGUGAAGAAGGCCUUUUGGUUGUAAAGCACUUUAAGCGAGGAGGAGGCUACCGAGAUUAAUACUCUUGGAUAGUGGACGUUACUCGCAGAAUAAGCACCGGCUAACUCUGUGCCAGCAGCCGCGGUAAUACAGAGGGUGCAAGCGUUAAUCGGAUUUACUGGGCGUAAAGCGCGCGUAGGUGGACAAUUAAGUCAAAUGUGAAAUCCCCGAGAUUAACUUGGGAAUUGCAUUCGAUACUGGUUGGCUAGAGUAUGGGAGAGGAUGGUAGAAUUCCAGGUGUAGCGGUGAAAUGCGUAGAGAUCUGGAGGAAUACCGAUGGCGAAGGCAGCCAUCUGGCCUAAUACUGACACUGAGGUGCGAAAGCAUGGGGAGCAAACAGGAUUAGAUACCCCGGUAGUCC
rnacentral:rRNA from 1 species